UUGACCUCGAAUCAGGUGGGACUACCC
rnacentral:rRNA from 1 species